rnacentral:rRNA from 1 species
UCCUGGCUUAGGAUGAACGCUAGCUACAGGCUUAACACAUGCAAGUCGAGGGCAGCAGGACGAUAGCUUGCUAUUGUUGCUGGUGACCGGCGCACGGGUGAGUAACGCGUAUCCAACCUUCCCCUUAGUAGGGCAUAGCCCGGUGAAAAUCGGAUUAAUACCCUAUGUUGUGUCAUGAGGACAUCUGAAUAACACUAAAGAUUUAUCGCUAAGGGAUGGGGAUGCGUCCGAUUAGGUAGUCGGCGGGGUAACGGCCCACCGAGCCCUCGAUCGGUAGGGGUUCUGAGAGGAAGGUCCCCCACACUGGUACUGAGACACGGACCAGACUCCUACGGGAGGCAGCAGUGAGGAAUAUUGGUCAAUGGGCGCGAGCCUGAACCAGCCAAGUAGCGUGCAGGAUGACGGCCCUAUGGGUUGUAAACUGCUUUUAUACGGGGAUAAAGUGAGGGACGUGUCCCUUAUUGUAGGUACCGUAUGAAUAAGGACCGGCUAAUUCCGUGCCAGCAGCGGC